rnacentral:rRNA from 1 species
GUGGGGAAUAUUGGACAAUGGGCGAAAGCCUGAUCCAGCCAUGCCGCGUGUGUGAAGAAGGUCUUCGGAUUGUAAAGCACUUUAAGUUGGGAGGAAGGGCAGUAAGUUAAUACCUUGCUGUUUUGACGUUACCAACAGAAUAAGCACCGGCUAACUUCGUGCCAGCAGCCGCGGUAAUACGAAGGGUGCAAGCGUUAAUCGGAAUUACUGGGCGUAAAGCGCGCGUAGGUGGUUCAGCAAGUUGAAGGUGAAAUCCCGGGCUCAACCUGGGAACGGCCUCCAAAACUACUGAGCUAGAGUACGGUAGAGGGUAGUGGAAUUUCCUGUGUAGCGGUGAAAUGCGUAGAUAUAGGAAGGAACACCAGUGGCGAAGGCGACUACCUGGACUGAUACUGACACUGAGGUGCGAAAGCGUGGGGAGCAAACAGGAUUAGAAACCCCAGUAGUCC